rnacentral:rRNA from 1 species
UACGAAGGGGGCUAGCGUUGCUCGGAAUCACUGGGCGUAAAGCGCACGUAGGCGGAUUGUUAAGUCAGGGGUGAAAUCCUGGAGCUCAACUCCAGAACUGCCUUUGAUACUGGCGAUCUCGAGUCCGGGAGAGGUGAGUGGAACUGCGAGUGUAGAGGUGAAAUUCGUAGAUAUUCGCAAGAACACCAGUGGCGAAGGCGGCUUCCUGGACCGACACUGACGCUGAGGCGCGAAAGCUAGGGGAGCAAACGGG